CUCGCGCCUUACGGCAAUUCCUCUGCCAAAGUUCACCCGUCGAACGACCCUGAAAUCGAUCCUAAUUCCUACUCGCUCGAGAAGUUUAGGCUUUAUGAGACCAGACAGAGGAAUUGGUAGUGAUCGGAGCAAGAGGUUCUUUCGGGUAUUGAAGAUUGAUCGCUCGGAGCCUUCUGAUCUAAAUAUCAGUGAAGACCCAGUAGUUUAUUCACCAC
rnacentral:misc_RNA from 1 species